CCUUCGAUAGCUCAGUUGGUAGAGCGGUGGACUGUAGAGUGUCUCAAAGUAAUCCAUAGGUCGCUGGUUCAAAUCCGGCUCGAAGGA
rnacentral:tRNA from 1 species